AACACAAUCGAUUCACCAACGAAGCGUGACGACUACAUUACAAAUACAAUUACCAACAUAACAACACGGAAUCCAUAGACAUUGCAAUCAUCUCUUCGUAACCUGUGCCUACGACUACAUGUUCGAAAUCUAUGGAAGAGGUUGAUGCGAUAUCUCGUUCUCACGGCGGCAAGUAUGAAGAGGACUGCUUCUGGGAUGUUGAUCAACAGUUACUACCAAGCUGCACGGAGCAACAUCCCAGAAGACUGUCAUCUCAAAAGAUAUUGUUUUGAGAAUUUUCAAGAAGAAAACGGUCUGGGUCAAAAAUAUCUGGAUUUGGAAAGAAUCUGGGGUCUCGGUGUAAAAUGUACGUGUUUACCAACACUGUGACUCCUGGUGGCAACACAUGAUCAACUGCAAAUGAACAAGAAUUACACAAACAAAUUUCCUUUCAGUAUGAACUUCAAUAACUCACAUAUUUGCACGGGUUGCUUUAUAUCUCUGGCGAUAAGUGGCACUACAGGAUACAGGCGCAUUGCCUCUUUGAUGCACCUUUCAAGGAAAAUGAGUUUCUGGAGCUGCUUUAUUGUAGGCCACUCUCCUCCUCCGGCUUCCUUCACAUUCCUCACCUCUUGAACAACUUUCUCCUGUGAAAGGUUAAUUUAAAAUUCUAAAUAUGUUCAGUAAAACAUGUACCCAUGUAAAUAACACAUGUUUAAAUAGUACAGAAGCUGUUAUGUUUCCAUUGGUAUAAUAUAUGUCGGAUCUUGUUGGGGCAGGGUUGACAAUACUGAAUGUUCUGGAGCACCAUGAAUCAAAAUUUGAUUUCCUAAUAUUAUUAGAAUUAAAAAUUUUGUUUGUUUAUAGUU